rnacentral:rRNA from 1 species
CGUUAGGGAAACGGGUGGUAAUGCUGGAUGCUCCAACUUGACGCAUGUCUUGUUGGGAAAGUGUUUAGUGGCAUGGGAUGGGGUCGCGUCCUAUCAGCUUGUAGGCGGGGUAAUGGCCCACCUAGGCUUCGACGGGUAGCCGGCCUGAGAGGGCGGACGGCCACAUUGGGACUGAGAUACGGCCCAGACUCCUACGGGAGGCAGCAGCCC